GAUGAGAACGUAGCGAAAUGCGAUAAGUAAUGCGAAUUGCAGAAUUUCCGUGAGUCAUCGAAUCUUUGAACGCACAUUGCGCCCACUGGUAUUCCGGUGGGCAUGCCUGUUCGAGCGUCAUUAUCCUCCCUCAAACCCCGGGUUUGGUGUUGGACCCAAGUUGUGUGAACAACUGGUCUCAAAGACAAUGACGGCGUCCGUGGGACCCUCGGUGCAACGAGCUUUUAGGAGCACGCAUCGAGUUGCAAGGACCUUCCGGGCCGGUCUCCUUUACCAUUUUACAAGGUUGACCUCGGAUCAGGUAGGAAUACCCGCUGAACUUAAGCAUAUCAAUAAGCGGAGGA
rnacentral:misc_RNA from 1 species